GCCGGUGUGUUGGAAUGGUAGACGAGGCGGACUCAAAAUCCGUUGGUGGCGACAUCGUGUGGGUUCGAGUCCCACCACCGGCACCA
rnacentral:tRNA from 1 species